rnacentral:rRNA from 1 species
GACGAACGCUGGCGGCGUGCUUAACACAUGCAAGUCGAACGGAAAGGCCCUGCUUUUGUGGGGUGCUCGAGUGGCGAACGGGUGAGUAACACGUGAGUAACCUGCCCUUGACUUUGGGAUAACUUCAGGAAACUGGGGCUAAUACCGGAUAGGAGCUCCUGCUGCAUGGUGGGGGUUGGAAAGUUUCGGCGGUUGGGGAUGGACUCGCGGCUUAUCAGCUUGUUGGUGGGGUAGUGGCUUACCAAGGCUUUGACGGGUAGCCGGCCUGAGAGGGUGACCGGCCACAUUGGGACUGAGAGACGGCCCAGACUCCUACGGGAGGCAGCAGUGGGGAAUAUUGCAGAAUGGGCGGAAGCCUGAUGCGGCAACGCCGCGUGCGGGAUGACGGCCUUCGGGUUGUAAACCGCUUUCGCCUGUGACGAAGCGUGAGUGACGGUAAUGGGUAAAGAAGCACCGGCUAACUACGUG